UUUGGGCGUUGGUCGUCUUCAUGUUCUUAUUGAAGGCUUUUAAAGGAGGUAGAUGUUGGACCAGGUACCAGUUUGUUGGUUGGUGCAGAUGUUGGUCACUGUGGUUAGUUAGAAACCGAUUGUAGGUUAGUUUUUAAAGUGCGUAGGUUCAUGUUGUCCUCGAUUCAACACUGAGUUUCUCUCGACUAUAAAUAGUUAUUUAGCCUAAACUAGAGUCAGAGUUGUCCUCCAACCCUAAAGUAGAUCUAACAGACUUUAGUAAUAAAGUUAAACUCUGAUCUCUGUUGUUCCUCUGAGUAUUACAUUAAACUUAGGCUUAAACUCACCGAGGAAUUUCAACGAGGAAAUGGCUGCUUUAUCUGCGUCAUGCAUGUUGCCUGUUGUCUCCUUCAUGGUUGCUUCUGCUGGUCAGAGAAUCAUCACAGCUGAACCUGGAGACAACGUCACUCUGACAUGUAGAGCAGAUCAGAACAAACCUGUUAUCGUUGUAAAGUGGACCAGAACUGAUAUGGGGUCAGAUCAAUAUGUUCUUCUAUACAGAGAUGAGCAGUUUGAUCCAGACUAUCAGUUUACAUCCUUUAAGAACCGGCUGGAUCUGGUGGACGUGAAGAAUGGAGACGUGUCUUUGGUUCUGAAGAACGUGACAACUGAUGAUACAGGAAGAUAUGAGUGUUGAGUUGCUCAGAGAGGAAAUAAUCGCAGGAAGAGAUCCAUUCAGGACACUGACCCCAUCAGCAUUAUUGACCUCAUAGUUCAAAGAAAGACGGAUGAACUAAAAGAAGAUGGAGGAAAAGAGGACAGAUAACAGAAGGAUGGAGAAGAGAUGAAUGGAUGGAACACGACUGGACUGAUAGCUGGUCUCUCUGUUGGUGGUAUUGUUGUUAUUGUUGUUGUUGUUCUGGUUCUACGUAGAAGGAAGAGACCUUUAUCACCAGAACCUAACCCACCUUCCAGCAGCAGAAGCUGAACCCAAGCAAAUUACAACAGAACUGUAAAAGUGUGAUGAUCCAUGACAACCUGUGAGAUGCUUUCAACACUACAGGAUGAAGGAUAAAACUGCAUUCUGCCUGAUUGUGUUUCCCCGUUCCAGUCCAUACUAACACUAGUAUUACCAGAACCUUGGAUACGCUCAGAUUCACUGUGAACUCUUUAUUUAUAUCAGGUUUUUUUUUUUUUUGCCUUCAUCAAUAUUUAAACCGUAGCAUAAUUUGAAGAACAAUAAAGUUUGCAGUUCUUCCUUCUGCUAACAGGCUUUAUGGAGAGGCUGGUUUCAUUUUCCAGUUGGACUUGGUACCGACCCACACUGCCACAGUCGAUAUAAUUUAUUUCAGAACGUGAUCCAUGUUCAAAGACAAUGUUUGGUUAUUACAUUUAUUGUCCCCCCUCCCAACCCCAAAAGGUAGAAGAAAUAAAAAUAGACGGUAUAUCAAAGCUCAGGAGGUUUAGUGGAAAAAAUACAAACUAAAAAGAAAAACAAAGUAAAAUUAAUAAUCGUCAUAGAACUGAAUCAAAUAGUUGUUUUAUGUCAGUGUAACUGUUUUAUUUUUAACCAAAUUAUGAGAGGAAGAAAUUCUACAAUAUACCAUAAAUAACAUCUCUAUUUUCCAGCAUGAUUUAGACAACAUUAAUGAAUAAAAACAGAAAUGAAACAGCUCUGGUUUAAUACUUUCUGUCACUCAGUGGUGUUCGAACGUUUUAUUCUGCAGUUUCUUUCAGUUUUUCUGUUGAAAGGUUUGGAUCAGUUCAAAACAGGAAGUCAUUUUCUGUCUCUUUUUGUUCAAGUCUACAGAACCACAGAUUAAAAUCAAAAGAAAAACUCUGUAAGAAACUAAUCUGCUGCUGUAUGCAACAUUUAUUCCAGAUUGGAGAAAUAAACAAUGAAUUUACUGACAGCAAUAAAGAAAGUGUCUUUGUACCAUGAAAUACAUUCAUGGAACAUUUAACUACUAAAAAUUAGAAUAUUACAGAGGAUCAAUAAAAAAAUAUUUUUAAACAGAAAUGUCAGGCUUCUGAAAAGUAGGUUAAUUUCUAUGCAUUUAAUUUUUUCCUUUUGUAUGAAUUACUGCAUCAAUGUGGCGUUGCAUGGAGGAGAUAAGCCUGUGGUUGUGCUGAGGUGUUCAGGAAGCCCAGGUUGCUUUGAUAGCAGCCUUCAGGUCCUCUGCAUUGUUUGUUCUGGUGUCUCAUCUUCCUCUUGAGAAUACCCCAUAGUUUCUCUAUGGUCUAUGGGGUUCUGGUUAGGUGAGUUUGGUGGCCAAGCAAAGUAACAGUGUGGUCUUUGGACCAGCUUUUGGUUGCGUGAUGGCUGCGUUGACUGUGUACUUCAGAAAACCCAGUGGACCAGAACCAGCAGAUGACAUGGAUUCUGUGCCCCUCCACUCUUCCUCCAGACACUGGGACGUUGAUUUCCAAAUGAAAUGCAAACUUUACUUUAAUCUGAAAACAGUCCAGUUCCUUUUUCUCCUCAGCUGAGGGAGGACGCUUUUGACGUUGUCUCUGGUUCGGCAGUGGAUUGACACGAGGAAUAUGACACUUCUGUGUAGGAUUCAUCGGUGGCUCUUGGUGCACUGAAUCUAGCCUAUGUCUUAUCUCUGUGAAGCUGUUAUCCCUGUUUCUGGUGCACCUUUUUCUUUCGCACUUUUUCCUUCCACUUAACUUUCUAUGAAUAUUCUUGCCUACAGCAUUCUGAACCACCAGCUUUAGAAAUUACUGUUGGUGGUUAACCCUUCUUAUAUAGGGUGUCAAUGACCGUCUUCGGGACAUCUGUCAAGUCAGCAGUACAAUAUUAAAAUUUUCUGAGACGCUGAAUUUUGUGUAAGUCAUAAUCAUCAAAAUUACAAGAAAUAAAGGCUUAAAACAUUC